GAUGAACGCUGGCGGCGUGCCUAAUACAUGCAAGUCGAGCGAACGGACGAGAAGCUUGCUUCUCUGAUGUUAGCGGCGGACGGGUGAGUAACACGUGGAUAACCUACCUAUAAGACUGGGAUAACUUCGGGAAACCGGAGCUAAUACCGGAUAAUAUUUUGAACCGCAUGGUUCAAAAGUGAAAGACGGUCUUGCUGUCACUUAUAGAUGGAUCCGCGCUGCAUUAGCUAGUUGGUAAGGUAACGGCUUACCAAGGCAACGAUGCAUAGCCGACCUGAGAGGGUGAUCGGCCACACUGGAACUGAGACACGGUCCAGGCUCCUACGGGAGGCAGCAGUAGGGAAUCUUACGCAAUGGGCGAAAGCCUGACGGAGCAACGCCGCGUGAGUGAUGAAGGUCUUCGGAUCGUAAAACUCUGUUAUUAGGGAAGAACAUAUGUGUAAGUAACUGUGCACAUCUUGACGGUACCUAAUCAGAAAGCCACGGCUAACUACGUG
rnacentral:rRNA from 1 species